AAAGGCAACAGGUCGUUGGCUGGGGUAAAGGCCGAUGGGCUGGACUGAGAAAGUGUCCCCGGGCGGGCAGCGGCCACCUUAACUCCUGGACGGAAUGGCUUUCGAGGAAACGCUGCAGUUCCACUAGGAGGCACCCUGACACACGCAUUUCCAGAGGGAGGGAUAACGGAAGCCAAAGUUUGUUAAGCGUUGUGCGCCGCGGCCGGGCGCGGUGAUUCACGCCUGUAAUCCCAGCACUUUGGGGGGCCGAGGCGGGCGGAUCACGACGUCAGGAGAUCGAGACCAUUCUGGCUAACACGGUGAAACCCCGUCUCUACUAAAAAUACAAAAACAAAAUUAGCUGGGCGUGGUGGCGGGCGCCUGUAGUCCCAGCUACUCGGGAGGCUGAGGUGGGAGAAUGGCGGGAACCCGGGAGGCGGAGUUUGCAGUGAGCCGAGAUUGCGCCACUGCACUCCAGCCUGGGCGACAGAGCGAGACUAUGUAUCAAAAAAAAAAAUGCGUUGUGCGCCGGGCUGAAACCGGCAUAAAACUGGGCAGAGCUAUGCAGGCAGCUACCCUCCCCCCCACCCCUACCCCCACCCCCACCCCCCUCGUGCCCGCUCCGCUACGUAUUCCCGUAUUCCCGGGUGCCUGGCAACAGUGAUGUGCUUUAGGCCUUUUUUAGAAUGCAUACAAACGGAACCAUAUCUAAGUGAUGUCUGGCUUUUUUAACUUAGCACAAUGCUUUGAGAUUCAUACUAUUGUGUUUAAUUAGUAAUUCAUUUGUGUUAUUGUUGAAUGGUAGUCUAUCAUAUGGGUAAGCCACAGUUUAUUUAUCCAUUCACCAAUUGAUGGGCCUGUCGGUUGUAGGGAACAGGAGAAAACUUCCCCUUUGCCCUCUGAAGGGUCACCGAAAAUCAACUGACAAGGCUGGGCCUGGGCUCCUGCCUGUAACCCCAGCCCUUUUUUAGCCCAAGGCAGGAGGAUCUCUUCUUUGUGAAGUGUGUAUUCAAAUCUUUUGACCAUUUAUUUAUUAGCUAGCUUGACUUUUUAUCUAAGAGUUCUUUAUAUAUUAUUGAGUUCUUUAUAUGUUUCAUACCAUGUUCUUUAUUAGCUAUACGUUUUGAAAUGUUUUCUACCUGUCUGUGGCUUGCCUCUUCAUUUUAAGUGUCUUUUGAAGCACUGAAGUUUUCAAUUUUGAUGUAAUUUAUCCAUUUUUUUCUUUUACAUAGUUCAUACCUUUUUUGUCCUACUUAAGACAUUUUUGCUAAAUUCAAGAUUAUAAGAUUUCCUCAUUUGUUACCUUCUGGAAGUUUUAUAAUUGUUGGUCUUCAUUAUAUUUAAAAUGAAUUAUUCUUUAUAGUAUCGAUAGAUGCUGGAGGCAGAUAAGGGAGGGUCCCUGGAGAAUCUCUGACCUGCCUCACAAGCUUUUGUGCAGCUGAGGAAGCCUGCCCAGGGUCUUGUCUGGGCAUGCCCACAAGGGACUUGGGGGCCCACUGCACCAGGAGAGUGGGGUGCAGCCAGAGGGAAUUCAGCCUUAUGCAGCAGGGAUGAGCAAGAAGUCUUCAGCUUGUGUGUGUUGGCCUGUUAUUCAGUCUGUGAGCUGGGAGCCUGUUGGCAGGACCCUCCUUGUUUUUUUGCUAAGAGCUUUUAAUAAAUGCCACUCUUCACCUUGCAAUGUAUUCACAUGCCUAAUUGUUCCUGGUCAUGAGACAAGAACCUGGAUUUUAGCUGAGCUAAGGAGCAAAAAUUCCUGCAUCAGUAUGAGGUGUAAGGAAGAACAGAAGGAUCCAAGUGUGAGAAAGCCCACCCUGAGUCUCUCAGAGGUGAUUAUGACUGUGUGAGCAUGGGUGAGACAAAUCCUCUGUUGUUGUUGAUGGCUACUUGAAGUGCUUCCUCCAUUCUUUCCAUUGUAGAAUACUUAGGGAGGGAGAGAAUAUUAUGACAAGUUAUUGAUGUUGGGUGAUCUCUUUCACUGAAAGUUUCAGGACAGCGAAAUACUAUUUCCAUUUUCUGUAUGCCUCUUGCAUGCAGCCUAUCACGUCCUGUAAGGAAAACUAGAAAGGAAUAAAAUUUGGUUAAGAUAUUUCAUAGAAAGAGUAAAACAUAAUGAAAAGGAAGAAAUUAAUCACUUCAUUCAGUAAGUAUUUAUUGAAUGUCCUUAGGCAGAGAGAACUGUCCUAGACCAUGUUGAAUGUAUAAAAAUCAUGACAUUUGGUCUUUGUCCUCAAUGAGUUCAUGGUGUAGUUGGGGGAAAAUUAUAUGCAUGAAAAGAUAGUAGCAAGAAGGAAGUUUAUUUAGCUC
rnacentral:lncRNA from 1 species